UACGGAGGGUGCAAGCGUUAUCCGGAUUUACUGGGUUUAAAGGGUGCGUAGGUGGGUCUGUAAGUCAGUGGUGAAAUCUCCGGGCUUAACUCGGAAACUGCCAUUGAUACUAUAGGUCUUGAAUUAUCUGGAGGUGAGCGGAAUAUGUCAUGUAGCGGUGAAAUGCUUAGAUAUGACAUAGAACACCAAUUGCGAAGGCAGCUCGCUACGGAUAUAUUGACACUGAGGCACGAAAGCGUGGGGAUCAAACAGG
rnacentral:rRNA from 1 species